rnacentral:rRNA from 1 species
CAGAAGCAGCAGCGCGCAAAUUACCCACUCCCGGCACGGGGAGGUAGUGACGAAAAAUAACGAUACGGGACUCAUCCGAGGCCCCGUAAUCGGAAUGAGCACACUUUAAACCCUUUAACGAGUAUCCAUUGGAGGGCAAGUCUGGUGCCAGCAGCCGCGGUAAUUCCAGCUCCAAUAGCGUAUAUUAAAGUUGUUGCGGUUAAAAAGCUCGUAGUUGGAUUUGUGUCCCACGCUGUCGGUUCACCGUUCGUCGGUGUUUAACUGGCAUGCCCGUGCGGACGUCCUGCCGGUGGAUGCGGUCGACCGUGGGCCUCUGGUCUGCGCGUCGGCGGUCCGAUGCAAUCCUACCGCGGUGCUCUUUACCGAGUGUCGAGGUGGGCCGGCACGUUUACUUUGAACAAAUUAGAGUGCUCAAAGCAGGCAGUGGUUCGCCUGAAUAUUGUGUGCAUGGAAUAAUGGAAUAGGACCUCGGUUCUAUUUUGUUGGUUUUCGGAACUUGAGGUAAUGAUUAAUAGGGACAGACGGGGGCAUUCGUAUUGCGACGUUAGAGGUGAAAUUCUUGGAUCGUCGCAAGACGAACCUAAGCGAAAGCAUUUGCCAUGGGUGUUUUCAUUAGUCAAGAACGAAAGUUAGAGGUUCGAAGGCGAUCAGAUACCGCCCUAGUUCUAACCAUAAACGAUGCCAGCUAGCGAUCCGCCGAAGUUCCUCCGAUGACUCGGCGGGCAGCUUCCGGGAAACCAAAGCUUUUGGGUUCCGGGGGAAGUAUGGUUGCAAAGCUGAAACUUAAAGGAAUUGACGGAAGGGCACCACCAGGAGUGGAGCCUGCGGCUUAAUUUGACUCAACACGGGAAACCUCACCAGGCCCGGACACCGGAAGGAUUGACAGAUUGAGAGCUCUUUCUUGAUUCGGUGGGUGGUGGUGCAUGGCCGUUCUUAGUUGGUGGAGCGAUUUGUCUGGUAUC